AAAGAAUGAAAACUAUAAUCCAUACUUAAGACAAAGGGCAAUAAAGCUACCCUGGAAGCAGUCCUGAUGUUAAAAUUCUGAAAAAGCAUAUAAUUAUGCUGAAGACAUAAAGAAAAAUGUGCUUAUACUAAAUGAAUAGGAUAGCACAUCAAAUACAACAUAAUAUUAAAAAUAAAGAACUGGUUGGCGCGGGCAUGAGGCCGAGGCAGGAAGACUGCUUGAGUCUGGGAGUUCAACACACCUUGCCCUUGCCCUACAACUUUCUUUAAAAAUUCGACCUUUUGUACAUUCUAUCUUGCUUUACUCCCUCGAUUCCUAGCACCAUCCUUUCUUCAUUCCUUUUUCACUUAUCCAUCAUUAGGUUGUUACUUUUUCUUUCAGCUGGCCCCUUCCAUCCAUUCCUUUCCUCAACAAUCUUUGCUAAAUG
rnacentral:lncRNA from 10 species